GCGUUGCUCUCCGUUUCUUUGCCAACGGGAGUUUCCUAUACAACAUUGGCGAUGCAGAACAUCUCGGAAAAGCAACAGUCUGCCGAGCCAUAAGAAAAGUGGCCCUGGCACUGAAAGGCCUACUGCAGACCUACGUAGUCUUUCCUGGGCACAAACCUCUAAGGACCAUCAAAGAGGAAUUUCACAUGAUUUCAGGUGACUGAUGUAGCACACAUUCAGUUUAAGUCAAUGAAGAAAUUUGAAAUCAUGUGAAUGACAAUGUUGCAAUCUCAGACUGGGAUGAGUAAAUCCUUUCCAUUUUGCAGGAUUUCCCAAUGUGAUUGGCUGCAUUGAUGGCACCCACAUCCCCAUCCUAGCUCCAUCCAUUAAUGAAGGAGACUAUGUGAAUAGGAAGUCAUUCCACAGCAUUAAUGUGCAGAUUAUAUGUGAUGCAGCACAUUUGAUCUCAAAUGUGGAGGCCAAAUGGCCUGGCUCGGUACAUGACUCAAGGAUAUAUCGCGAGUCUACCCUGAGCAACAGAGUUGCAAAUGGAGAGUUUCAUGGCCACCUGCUUGGUGACAGAGGGUACCCAUGCCAGCCCACUCUGAUGACCCCUUACCAUGACCCUGAGCCGGG